GAUGAACGCUGGCGGCGUGCCUAACACAUGCAAGUCGAGCGAAGCGGGGACGGGUGAGUAACACGUGGAUAACCUCCUAUAAGACUGGGAUAACUUCGGGAAACCGGAGCUAAACCGGAUACUUAUACCUGGUUCCGCGCUGCAUUAGCUAGUUGGUAGGGUAACGGCUUACCAAGGCAACGAUCCAUAGCCGGCCUGAGAGGAUGAUCAGCCACACUGGAACUGAGACACGGUCCAGACUCCUACGGGAGGCAGCAGUGGGGAAUCUUGCGCAAUGGGCGAAAGCCUGACGGAGCAACGCCGCGUGUAUGAUGAAGGUCUUCGGAUCGUAAAACUCUGUUAUUGGGGAAGCGGUACCUAAUCAGAAAGCCACGGCUAACUACGUGCCAGCAGCCGCGGUAAUUC
rnacentral:rRNA from 1 species